rnacentral:rRNA from 1 species
GACGAACGCUGGCGGCGUGCUUAACACAUGCAAGUCGAACGAAUGUCUGCCCUUCGGGGCAGACGUGAGUGGCGAACGGGUGAGUAACACGUGAGCAACCUGCCCUUGACACUGGAAUAACAGCUGGAAACAGCUGCUAAUACCGGAUACGACCUUCGAUGGCAUCAUCUGGAGGUGGAAAGCUCCGACGGUCAAGGAUGGGCUCGCGGCCUAUCAGCUUGUUGGUGAGGUAACGGCUCACCAAGGCUUCGACGGGUAGCCGGCCUGAGAGGGCGACCGGCCACACUGGGACUGAGAUACGGCCCAGACUCCUACGGGAGGCAGCAGUGGGGAAUAUUGCACAAUGGGCGCAAGCCUGAUGCAGCAACGCCGCGUGCGGGAUGACGGCCUUCGGGUUGUAAACCGCUUUCAGCUCCGACGAAGGUAACCUGACGGUAGGAGCAGAAGAAGGACCGGCCAACUACGUGCCAGCAGCCGCGGUAAAAC